GGGUAACUAUUAAAGCCCAAUACUUGUUAUUUGCUAGGGUUUAUGGUUCGCUAUAAAUUGAUGAAACCUAGCUCGCAGUCGCUUUGAAUCUCCUUUCUUUACCCACCCACAGUCUACUCUCUGUUCGGCUAGGGUUUGUUGUCUGAUUUUGUGGUUUAUCACUAUGAGAGCUAAGUGGAAGAAGAAGCGUAUGAGAAGGUUGAAGAGGAAGCGCCGAAAGAUGAGACAAAGAUCCAAGUAGUGUGCGUCUUUCCCCAGCAUCUAUUGCCCCUAGUUUUGUUUUCAUUCCGUUAUGUUAUUGUUUUCAGAUCAAAUGUUAUGAUACUUUUUUACUUCUUUAUUUUGCUUUUCGAAAGAUGUUAUUCUCUCGAAUUAACUAGUUUUAAUAUUCCGAUCUCUUAAUCUCGUUUAUGUUUUUUGGUUUAACCUUUUUAAUAUGGAAAUUUCGCGCACUGCACUGUA